CCCUACGGGAGGCAGCAGUGGGGAAUUUUGGACAAUGGGCGCAAGCCUGAUCCAGCCAUUCCGCGUGAGUGAAGAAGGCCUUCGGGUUGUAAAGCUCUUUCGCAAGGGAAGAAAACUUAACCUCUAACAUAGGUUGAGGCUGACGGUACCUUGAUAAGAAGCACCGGCUAACUACGUGCCAGCAGCCGCGGUAAUACGUAGGGUGCGAGCGUUAAUCGGAAUUACUGGGCGUAAAGCGUGCGCAGGCGGCUUUGUAAGUCAGAUGUGAAAUCCCCGAGCUCAACUUGGGAACUGCGUUUGAAACUACAAGGCUAGAAUAUGUCAGAGGGGGGUAGAAUUCCACGUGUAGCAGUGAAAUGCGUAGAGAUGUGGAGGAAUACCAAUGGCGAAGGCAGCCCCCUGGGAUAAUAUUGACGCUCAUGCACGAAAGCGUGGGGAGCAAACAGGAUUAGAUACCCGAGUAGUCCA
rnacentral:rRNA from 1 species